GGAUAGUGGGUUUCUACCAGCAGCUACAUUAAGAAAAUGAGUCAUGGAGACCUACUAGCCAAUUUACAAACUAUCCUGUAUUGGGAACUUGGCAAGUAAAGAAAGAAAUUGCUCGGCAAGCUGGCAAAACUGGAGGCUAUAGGGGUUAACAGGAGAUUGACAGAAGGAUAAUCAGACACAAAAGCUACAUUGCUACUCGAGUACGAGGAGCUUGUUAAAAAAGAAGAGAUCUCUUGGAGACAAAGAUCCAGAUCCUUGUGGUUAAAAGAAGGGGACAAGAGCAUUAAGUUCUUCCACAGAAUGGGAAAUACACAUAAGAGAUAUAAUAAUAUUGACCAGUUGCUUAUUCAUGGGGAACUAACUAAUGACCUGGCCAGAAUUCAAGGAGGGAUAGUGGAUUUCUACCAGCAGCUACAUUAAGAAAAUGAGUCAUGGAGACCUACUAGCCAAUUCACAAACUAUCCCGUAUGGGGAACCUGGGCAAGCAAAGAAAGAAAUUGCUUGGCAAGCUGGCAGAACUGGAGGCUAUAGGGGUUAACAGGAGAUUGACCAUUGGAGAAUCAAACACAAAAUCUACAUUGCUACCGGAGUACGAGGAGCUUGUUAAAAAAGAAGAGAUCUCCGGGAGACAAAGAUCCAGAUCCUUGUGGUUAAAAGAAGGGACAAGAACAUCAAGUUCUUCCACAGAAUGACAAAUGCACAUAAGAGAUAUAUAAUAUUGACCCGUUGCUUAUUCAUGGGGAACUAACUAAUGACCUGGCCAGAAUUGAAGGAGGGAUAGUGGAUUUCUACCAGCAGCUAUAUUAAGAAAAUAAGUCAUGGAGACAGUAUUGGGAAGCUGGGCAAGCAAAGAAAGAAAUUGCUUGACAAGCUGGCAGAACUGGAGGCUAUAGGGGUUAAUAGGAGAUUGACAGAAGGAGAAUCAGACACAAAAGCUACAUUGCUACUGGAGUACGAGGAGCUUGUUAAAAAAGAAGAGAUCUCUUGGAGACAAAGAUCCAGAUCCUUGUGGUUAAAAGAAGGGAGGCAAGAACAUCAAGUUCUUCCACAGAAUGGCAAAUACACAGAGAUAUAAUAAUAUUGACCAGUUGCUUAUUCAUGGGGAACUAACUAAUGACCUGGCCAGAAUUCAAGAAGGGAUAGUGGAUUUCUACCUGAAGCUACAUUAAGAAAAUGAGUCAUGGAGACCUACUAGCCAAUUCACAAACUAAUCCAGUAUUGGGAACCUUGGGAACCUGGGCAAGCAGAGAAAGAAAUUGCUCGGCGGGUUGGCAGAACUGGAGGCUAUAGGGGUUAACAGGAGAUUGACAGAAGGAGAAUCAGACACAAAAGCUACAUUGCUACUGGAGUAUGAGGAGCUUGUUAAAAAAGAAGAUAUCUCUUGGAGACAAAGAUCCAGAUCCUUGUGGUUAAAAGAAGGGGACAAGAACAUCAAGUUCUUCCACAGAAUGGCAAAUGCACAUAAGAGAUAUAAUAAUAUUGACCAGUUGCUUAUUCAUGGGGAACUAACUAAUGAUCUGGCCAGAAUUCAAGGAGGGAUAGUGGAUUUCUACCAGCAGCUACAUUAAGAAAAUUAGUCAUGGAGACCUACUAGCCAAUUCACACACUAUCCAGUAUUGUCAGAACAAGAAAAUAGAUCACUACAAGAAAACUUUGAGGAAGAAGAGGUGCUGAAUUGUUUAAAAUUAUGUGCUACUGACAAAGCACCGGGGCCUGACGGUUUCACCAUGGGUUUCUUCAUCAAUUGUUGGGAGGUAGUAAAGCAAGAUGUAAUGAAAACGCUUUAAAAUUUUCAUGAUCAUGGGAUGUUUAGAAAAGUUUCAAUGCUACAUUCAUAACAUUGAUUCCAAAGAAGAAAAGGGCAAAAGAACUGUGAGAAAGGUGAUUAAAGCUAAGUAUGAGAAGGGGGACAGGUGGAUGACCAAAGAAGUCACUACUCCAUAUGGGGUGAGUUUAUGGAGAUCCAUCAAAGCCUUAUAGCCUUAUGGGAGGAGUUCAAACCUAACACCAAAAUCAAAGUAGUGAAUGGUGAGAAGACCGACUUCUGGAACGACGAUUGGCAUGAAGCAGGAAUCAUAGAACCUAUUCCCAGACAUUCACAAUCUAAUUCUAACCCAACAAGUAUUAUAACAGAAUUAUGGACACCACAAGGAUGGAACUUCACUUUCCGGAGACACCUAAAUGAUUGGGCAAUCCUAAGGGUGACAGAGUUCUUCAACAUCAUUGGUCAGUUUGGAGGAUUGGAGAGUGGAAUGAAUAUUUUAAGGUGGCAAGGAGCUAAAGAAGGGGGUUUCAAAGUGGGCGUAGCUUACAGAAAGUUGAACCAGGUUGAUCACCACACUCUUAAC
rnacentral:lncRNA from 1 species